rnacentral:rRNA from 1 species
UACGUAGGGGGCAAGCGUUGUCCGGAAUCAUUGGGCGUAAAGCGCGUGUAGGCGGUCCGGUAAGUCCGCUGUGAAAGUCGGGGGCUCAACCCUCGGAUGCCGGUGGAUACUGUCGGGCUUGAGUACGGAAGAGGCGAGUGGAAUUCCUGGCGUAGCGGUGAAAUGCGCAGAUAUCAGGAGGAACACCAAUUGCGAAGGCAGCUCGCUGGGACGUUACUGACGCUGAGACGCGAAAGCGUGGGGAGCAAACAGG